rnacentral:rRNA from 1 species
CCACCAAGGCGACGAUCCGUAGCUGGUCUGAGAGGAUGAUCAGCCACACUGGAACUGAGACACGGUCCAGACUCCUACGGGAGGCAGCAGUGGGGAAUAUUGGACAAUGGGCGCAAGCCUGAUCCAGCCAUACCGCGUGGGUGAAGAAGGCCUUCGGGUUGUAAAGCCCUUUUGUUGGGAAAGAAAUCCAGCUGGUUAAUACCCGGUUGGGAUGACGGUACCCAAAGAAUAAGCACCGGCUAACUUCGUGCCAGCAGCCGCGGUAAUACGAAGGGUGCAAGCGUUACUCGGAAUUACUGGGCGUAAAGCGUGCGUAGGUGGUCGUUUAAGUCUGUUGUGAAAGCCCUGGGCUCAACCUGGGAACUGCAGUGGAAACUGGACGACUAGAGUGUGGUAGAGGGUAGCGGAAUUCCUGGUGUAGCAGUGAAAUGCGUAGAGAUCAGGAGGAACAUCCAUGGCGAAGGCAGCUACCUGGACCAACACUGACACUGAGGCACGAAAGCGUGGGGAGCAAACAGGAUUA